GUCUGUGCGUCUCCAUGGCAAGACAGAUACUGGACUUUACUCCUGGAUACUAGGAAACAGUCUCUUCUCUUCAAAAUCUUGCACAGUGAGGCAAGAGACGCCCAGUCACUCCUGAAAAUGCAUCACUUCACUGUUAAUAACGAGGAGUUGAAAGAGUCAUUUUCCUCUCUCUCAAAUUGAUUUUUUUCUCACAUUGUAUUUUUUAGAAUUCUUAUUUGCAAUCAGCUGGUGUUUCUCUCACUCUGUCACUCACUCACCCCCAAGUAAGAGUAAAAAAUGGCACAAAAAGCAUGAAUCCAGUGCCCUUUAGGAAACCCUGGUGGCGCAGUGGUUAUGAGCUACGGCUGCUAACCAAAAGGUCAGCAGUUCAAAUUCACCAGGUGCCCCUUGGAAACUCUAUGGAGCAGUUCUACUCUGUCCUAUAGGGCCACUAUGAGUCGGAAUCGACUCAAUGGCAACGGGUUAUCUGUUAUCUGCUCAGAAGGCUGCCCAGGUCUGUGGUACUAUAAAUUAUACUUGUGUCUGUUGUUGUUGUUGCUGGGUGCCGCUGAGUUGAUUUUUCACUCACAGCAACCCCAUAUAUUACAGAGUAGAACUGCCCCAUAGGGUUUUCUAGGCUGUAAUCUUUACAGGAGCAGAUUGCCAGGUCUUUCUCUUGCAGAGCCACUGGGUGGAUUUGAACCGCCAACCUUUCGGGUUAGCAGCUGAACACUUUACCACUGCACCACCAUGGCUCCUAGUGAACUACAAAAGGUCAGUCACUGCAAGAACCUUAGAGCUGUCCUCAGGGCUCCCAAGGCAGUAGGUCAAGGAGGGGGGCCCAGGCACCUGCAUUUUCACAACCUCCCUAGGUGACUGAAGCAUCUCAAGAUGAGAACCAUGCUGGAAUAGAACACGCUGCCAUUAAAGAUAACGUCAGAGGUCAGCCCUGUGGAACCAGUCUCACAGUGUUCUCACUUGCUGAGCCCAACCAGAAGCCAGAGGCAAAGGAGACUACUGAUAUAGUCCAUAGAGAUUGAUGUUCAAGGGCACAGAGCAGAGAGGGUGGGAAGUGUUUGGAUUCAGAGGCGCAAAGGGAAGAUGCCCAGCACAACACCUCUAAAGAAAACAUGCCAGGGAAGGUCAAACCUUUCGCAUCUUCACAAAGAACAGCAUUCCACACACACUCUGCUGAAGCUUCCGCCGCCUCUGCCACGCCCACGGACUCAAGCAUCUGAUUGGACUGGUAAGUGCUGAAUCAUACCAGUGAUUUUUGAAAGGACACAACUUUUUCCAGAGGAGGAUUUAAAAAGAAACUCACAAAUGCAUUUAUGAAAUACUUACCGAGCACUUACUUCAUGAAACUAACUAUAUUUUACUUUAGCCAGUGUAAGACCUCAGUGUAAUGUAUGAUAAACUGAACAGGGCUGCUGCUGUUGUUAGUUGCUUUGAGUUGGCUUACAAAGUUUAACGACGCCCCUGUUCCUAUUCUUCUAAAAGAAGCAAAAAUAAAUAUAAUAAAAAAAGAAAAUUUCUCAUGUUUUUAGACUGGGAAAAAUUUUAGCUUUAAUCAAACAUUUUUUCUUUUAAACAUAUAUGAUUUUCCAAUCAGGUUUCACCUCCAUAUUGAAAAAAACCAGUUACUGUUGACUCCAACUCAUCGAGGCCUCGUGUGUCAGAGUACAACUGUGCUCCACAGGGUUUUUAAUGGCCGAUUUUUUGGAAGUAGAUCACCAGGUCUUUCUUCCAAGGUGCCUCUGGUGGACUCAAUUUGCCAACCUUUCAGUUCGUGGCUCAGUGUGUUAAAUGUCUGCACCACUCAGGGACUAUACCUCCAUACUGCCAGAUGGUUAAAUGCAUACUACAGCAUCAGGUGGCCCAAAACAAAUGGGUUGAGGGAUGGAUUUAUUCCAAUUUUUCAACUUCCACUAACCUAACAUUAGUUCCAUUAAACUAAAGAAGUUUUCAGAAGGAACUGUAUUUGAUUGCCAUUCUCUACUCUACGGUCACCUGCAGUGGGUUACCUGAUAAACGACUUAUAAGCUUCCCUGGAUCCAUCUAUACCUGUUUCACUGGCAUAGUGAAGGCAGCAAUCCUGAGUUCUCUGGAUUAGCAGCAUGGGCCAGGGAGCGAUGUGUGCUCUGGGGAUACACCAGGUCAUUUCAGAGGCACAUGACAGGUGGUAGGUGGUAUUAAACAACACAGAAUCACAAAAUGAGAAGGGGAUUCCUUUUUCAAUCCUUUUCAAGCCUUCUCAAACACCAGAGCUUCUGUCGGAUGUUAGCAUGUCUGCAACACCUCUCUCUAUACCACCUGCUAAUCUCUCUCUUCAUCAGAGACAGGUGAGGCUUUAGGCUCGGUGUCUUCACAGGCAAAGCGCAUUUACAAGAAUUUGGUUAACACUCUUAUUUUCAUAAUUACCAUCUAUUUAUAUCAAAUGAUACUGGUUUCCAACUCUAGGCAGUUAUAUAAGUUUCUUCUAAAAAUAAAUUUUAAAAAAGUAAAUACAUUUAGUUUACUACGUAAAAUAAAUUUAAGAGAAAAUAUUACAUAAAUAAUAUAGGUUUUACAUAGAUAUGGCAAAAGUCAGCAAGUGGUAUAUAAAUGACUAGAGUCUGAGAAACACGGAUCUAACGCUAAGUAUACCUCAUGAGUCAGGAGACCUGGAUUUUAGUUCUUACUGCCUUCACAUAGGCAAUAAUGUCUAAUUUUAUUGGCUUAUAAAUAAACAAUUCUGUCCUUGAAGAUGAAGAUAGUAGCUCUUCUGGUCAAAGGGUUGCAGCUCAAAGAGAGCAAUAAAAAUUUAGUAAAACUGCUUUGUAAUCUGAAUCCUAUCUUGUCCAUACAACCUAACAAAGAUGCCCGUGAUAAAUGAUUAAACAUUAAGGUUUAAAGAUUUUAUUAGUAGUAGGAUGAAAAUAUGGGAAUAUAAACCAUGAAGUGAGAGGAAAUGCUAAAUGCUAUUCUCCUGGUUCACACGCAUCAGGUCUAACAAGGGGGCCUCUGGCUGUCACUGUAAUGUGAUUCACGUAAGAACCCCCUCUGAUUCACAUAAGAAUCAUCAAUGAUAGUUAUCCAGGGUCACCCAGGGUAAAUUAAAUCACAAAAGCCAUCGCUCAUGGUAUGUGAAUCCUUUUGAUGUUGGUCUGGUAAAAAUACUGCAUAUUUCAUGGUACUGAUCAGGAAAAACCCUCUCAAUAGUCACCUCCUCUGUGAACUGUCAAACUCCUAGACAUUUUAGUUUGGCCUCUUUCAUCUCAAGUGACCCAAAACUCCAAAUUCUAACCUCCUUGAAAAAUGUAUAUUUUAUUUCCAUGUUCCUUUCCAGUUCAGAACUCAAAAAACACUAACUCAACCAAUUUAUGGUAUUUUUUUUUUUUUUAAUGCACCCACCCUCCUAUACUCCUACAUGCCCCUGCUCCCUGUGCCCCUCCUCCAAACCCACCCACACACUGACAGGCCCAUUCCAGGAAGGGGUGCUUGAAACAAAGGCUUCUGUCCUUCUGGACCCUUAUUUACAGCCUGCACUUUGCUAAAUACCACAGAUCAGCAAACCUCACUCUGGAGCUGCGGCCUUUUUCCUAUGCACUGUCUGCUGUUUACUUGUUUUAAAAUAUUUCUACAACGCAUCCAUUGUUCUUCAUUCACCAUAUAAUUGUAUGAUGCAUUGGCAAGCAACUGCUCCUCAAUGAAUAAAAGUGUGUUUACGAAAGAAUAAUUGGAGUUGCUUGGCACAGGGAGCAGGCCUUGCCCAGGACCAGCUGAUGUAUGUUGCAAACACGGCUGUCCUCAGCCUUCUGCCCUGCUGAAUGUGCAUGUAGUCAGAAACUAUUCAUCCUGGGACCUCAGUUUCAGCUACAUAAGAAAGAGGGAUGCUUUCUUAUGCCAUAUGAUUUACUCAGUUGCUAGAACUAGGAAGUAAACAGACUUUAAUUUUACUUAAGUCACAAAAUUUAGAUUCAACUGGAAAGGUUUUAAAUAUGCCAUAACAGACAGUAGCUUAUUUGCUGGGAGUGUUCAUAUAACAUAGGGUUUGGGCCUAUAAAUAUCAGUAUAACAAACAUUGGGCUGUAUGGUCAAGAUGCUUCUGUGCUCCUCAUUCUAACAGAACCCAUUUUCACAAAAAGACUUGUUUAAGGACAAAGGCAGAAUAUCGUUUUCUGUUCUGAGGUCUCUCACGCCACAACCGUACUAUAUAUAAGUAUUUGAGUGACUGUACCACCCUUGUCUUGUUUUCUAGGAAUCUGUCCUGCCCACAGCUCAGCAGCAGGCCAUGUGACCAUAGCCUAUCCAAGCUGCAUCUGACUGGAUACGGGUGAAACUGACCCAAGGAAGGCCCAUCCCCAUGCUGGCUAGCAACUAUAAGUUGUGUGGCUUGGCUUAACUAGAUAAAUUAAGCCAAUCAGACUGCUCUACCAGGAAUUUGGAAUUAGAAAAUGGAGAGGCUGUUACUAGUUAGCUAUGGAUUGCUAAGUUUACAGAUCAUGUGGACUUGAGGGUUGUGGGUCCAUUUUGAGCUAAGGACAAGCAGAGGUAGCUGGUCUACAGAUCUGAAGAAGGGAGCAGACCGGCAGGAAGAUGCAGAGAUCAGAGACUUAGAGAUGAAGAGUGGGCUCCAUUUCUAGAAGCUUUCAUGCUCCCAUGAAGGCUGCCUCACUGCUGUUUCUUGUUCUUAGAUUCUCUGAGGUAUCUCCAUGUGUCAGCAACAAACUUUCUUUACCCAAAGUAUCUUGAGGAAGUAUCUGUUCCUGCAACUGAAACAAGUUCUGAACAAGACAACGACCCACAGAGGUUCUACAGGCUGAUCUUCUGCAGUACUAAUGACUACAGCAAAAAUGUCUAUGGUGAUAUGAAUUAAUAUAACACAAAGCGAAAAAAAAAAAAAAGACUUGCAAACC